rnacentral:rRNA from 1 species
GACGAACGCUGGCGGCGUGCUUAACACAUGCAAGUCGAACGGAAAGGCCCUGCUUUUGUGGGGUGCUCGAGUGGCGAACGGGUGAGUAACACGUGAGUAACCUGCCCUUCACUUUGGGAUAACUUCAGGAAACUGGGGCUAAUACCGGAUAGGAGCUCCCGCUGCAUGGUGGGGGUUGGAAAGUUUCGGCGGUUGGGGAUGGACUCGCGGCUUAUCAGCUUGUUGGUGGGGUAGUGGCUUACCAAGGCUUGGACGGGUAGCCGGCCUGAGAGGGUGACCGGCCACAUUGGGACUGAGAUACGGCCCAGACUCCUACGGGAGGCAGCAGUGGGGAAUAUUGCACAAUGGGCGGAAGCCUGAUGCAGCGACGCCGCGUGCGGGAUGACGGCCUUCGGGUUGUAAACCGCUUUCGUCUGUGACGAAGCGAUAGUGACGGUAAUGGGUGAAGAAGCACCGGCUAACUACGUG